rnacentral:rRNA from 1 species
UAGAGUUGAUCAUGGCUCAGAUUGAACGCUGGCGGCAGGCCUAACACAUGCAAGUCGAGCGGUAGAGAGAAGCUUGCUUCUCUUGAGAGCGGCGGACGGGUGAGUAAUGCCUAGGAAUCUGCCUGGUAGUGGGGGAUAACGUUCGGAAACGGACGCUAAUACCGCAUACGUCCUACGGGAGAAAGCAGGGGACCUUCGGGCCUUGCGCUAUCAGAUGAGCCUAGGUCGGAUUAGCUAGUUGGUGGGGUAAUGGCUCACCAAGGCGACGAUCCGUAACUGGUCUGAGAGGAUGAUCAGUCACACUGGAACUGAGACACGGUCCAGACUCCUACGGGAGGCAGCAGUGGGGAAUAUUGGACAAUGGGCGAAAGCCUGAUCCAGCCAUGCCGCGUGUGUGAAGAAGGUCUUCGGAUUGUAAAGCACUUUAAGUUGGGAGGAAGGGCAGUUGCCUAAUACGUAACUGUUUUGACGUUACCGACAGAAUAAGCACCGGCUAACUCUGUGCCAGCAGCCGCGGUAAUACAGAGGGUGCAAGCGUUAAUCGGAAUUACUGGGCGUAAAGCGCGCGUAGGUGGUUCGUUAAGUUGGAUGUGAAAUCCCCGGGCUCAACCUGGGAACUGCAUUCAAAACUGACGAGCUAGAGUAUGGUAGAGGGUGGUGGAAUUUCCUGUGUAGCGGUGAAAUGCGUAGAUAUAGGAAGGAACACCAGUGGCGAAGGCGACCACCUGGACUGAUACUGACACUGAGGUGCGAAAGCGUGGGGAGCAAAC